GUGUCCAUGUAGCUCAGAGGUUAAGGAGACGGACUGGGACUCCUGAGGUUGUGGGUUCAAGCCUUGCCUUAUACA